UGGGGAAUAUUGGGCAAUGGGCGCAAGCCUGACCCAGCAACGCCGCGUGAAGGAAGAAGGCUUUCGGGUUGUAAACUUCUUUGACAGGGGAAGAUAAUGACGGUACCCUGAAAACAAGCUCCGGCUAACUACGUGCCAGCAGCCGCGGUGAUACGUAGGGAGCAAGCGUUAUCCGGAAUUACUGGGUGUAAAGGGCGCGUAGGCGGGGUCUGCAAGUCAGAUGUGAAAUGCCGGGGCUUAACCUCGGAGCUGCAUUUGAAACUGUAGGUCUUGAGUGAUGGAGAGGCAGGCGGAAUUCCCGGUGUAGCGGUGGAAUGCGUAGAUAUCGGGAGGAACACCAGUGGCGAAGGCGGCCUGCUGGACAUUAACUGACGCUGAGGCGCGAAAGCGUGGGGGGCAAACAGGAUUAGAUACC
rnacentral:rRNA from 1 species